AUUGAACGCUGGCGGCAUGCUUUACACAUGCAAGUCGAACGGUAACAGGUUAAGCUGACGAGUGGCGAACGGGUGAGUAAUGCAUCGGAACGUGCCCGGUCGUGGGGGGUAACGCAGCGAAAGCUGCGCUAAUACCGCAUACGAUCUGAGGAUGAAAGCGGGGGACCGUAAGGCCUCGCGCGAUCGGAGCGGCCGAUGUCAGAUUAGGUAGUUGGUGGGGGUAAAAGGCUCACCAAGCCGACGAUCUGUAGCUGGUCUGAGAGGACGACCAGCCACACUGGGACUGAGACACGGCCCAGACUCCUACGGGAGGCAGCAGUGGGGAAUUUUGGACAAUGGGCGCAAGCCUGAUCCAGCAAUGCCGCGUG
rnacentral:rRNA from 1 species